rnacentral:rRNA from 1 species
CCCUGCUUCCAGGAAAAGCCUCUAAGCCUCAGGUAACAUCAAAUCGUACCCCAAACCGACACAGGUGGUCAGGUAGAGAAUACCAAGGCGCUUGAGAGAACUCGGGUGAAGGAACUAGGCAAAAUGGUGCCGUAACUUCGGGAGAAGGCACGCUGACACGUAGGUGAAGUGGUUUACCCAUGGAGCUGAAGUCAGUCGAAGAUACCAGCUGGCUGCAACUGUUUAUUAAAAACACAGCACUGUGCAAACACGAAAGUGGACGUAUACGGUGUGACGCCUGCCCGGUGCCGGAAGGUUAAUUGAUGGGGUCAGCGCAAGCGAAGCUCCUGAUCGAAGCCCCGGUAAACGGCGGCCGUAACUAUAACGGUCCUAAGGUAGCGAAAUUCCUUGUCGGGUAAGUUCCGACCUGCACGAAUGGCGUAAUGAUGGCCAGGCUGUCUCCACCCGGGACUCAGUGAAAUUGAACUCGCUGUGAAGAUGCAGUGUACCCGCGGCAAGACGGAAAGACCCCGUGAACCUUUACUAUAGCUUGACACUGAACACUGGUCCUUGAUGUGCAGGAUAGGUGGGAGGCUUUGAAGUGUGGACGCCAGUCUGCAUGGAGCCAUCCUUGAAAUACCACCCUUUAAUGGCUGGUGUUCUAACGUGGGCCCCUGACCGGGGUUGCGGACAGUGUCUGGUGGGUAGUUUGACUGGGGCGGUCUCCUCCUAAAGAGUAACGGAGGAGCACGAAGGUUGGCUAAUCCUGGUCGGACAUCAGGAGGUUAGUGCAAUGGCAUAAGCCAGCUUGACUGCGAGCGUGACGGCGCGAGCAGGUGCGAAAGCAGGUCAUAGUGAUCCGGUGGUUCUGAAUGGAAGGGCCAUCGCUCAACGGAUAAAAGGUACUCCGGGGAUAACAGGCUGAUACCGCCCAAGAGUUCAUAUCGACGGCGGUGUUUGGCACCUCGAUGUCGGCUCAUCACAUCCUGGGGCUGAAGUAGGUCCCAAGGGUAUGGCUGUUCGCCAUUUAAAGUGGUACGCGAGCUGGGUUUAGAACGUCGUGAGACAGUUCGGUCCCUAUCUGCCGUGGGCGCUGGAAGAUUGAGGGGGGCUGCUCCUAGUACGAGAGGACCGGAGUGGACGCAUCACUGGUGUUCGGGUUGUCAUGCCAAUGGCACUGCCCGGUAGCUACAUGCGGAAGAGAUAAGUGCUGAAAGCAUCUAAGCACGAAACUUGCCCCGAGAUGAAUCUUCCCUGAGCCUUUAAGGCUCCUGAAGGA